rnacentral:rRNA from 1 species
UACGUAGGGUGCAAGCGUUGUCCGGAAUUAUUGGGCGUAAAGAGCUCGUAGGCGGUUCGUCGCGUCGGCUGUGAAAACCUGAGGCUCAACCUCAGGCCUGCAGUCGAUACGGGCGGACUUGAGUACUGCAGGGGAGACUGGAAUUCCUGGUGUAGCGGUGAAAUGCGCAGAUAUCAGGAGGAACACCGGUGGCGAAGGCGGGUCUCUGGGCCGAUAUUGACGCUGAGGAGCGAAAGCGUGGGGAGCAAACAGG